rnacentral:rRNA from 1 species
GUGAGGAAUAUUGGACAAUGGGCGCAAGCCUGAUCCAGCCAUGCCGCGUGCAGGAAGACGCAUCUAUGGUGUGUAAACUGCUUUUGUACGGGAAGAAACACUCCCUCGUGAGGGAGCUUGACGGUACCGUAAGAAUAAGGAUCGGCUAACUCCGUGCCAGCAGCCGCGGUAAUACGGAGGAUCCAAGCGUUAUCCGGAAUCAUUGGGUUUAAAGGGUCCGUAGGCGGUUUAAUAAGUCAGUGGUGAAAGCCCAUCGCUCAACGAUGGAACGGCCAUUGAUACUGUUAGACUUUAAUUACAAGGAAGUAACUAGAAUAUGUAGUGUAGCGGUGAAAUGCUUAGAUAUUACAUGGAAUACCAAUUGCGAAGGCAGGUUACUACUUGUGGAUUGACGCUGAUGGACGAAAGCGUGGGGAGCGAACAGGAUUAGAUACCCUGGUAGUCC